AUGCGGGAGGCCGGCAUCACGAAGCCCACCGAGAUCCAGUGCGUCGGCGUGCCCGCCGUGCUCUCCGGCACCAGUGUCGUGCUUGGCUCGCACACCGGCUCCGGGAAGACGCUCGCCUACUUGCUCCCUCUUGUUCAGCUACUGCGUCAUGAUGAAGCGACACUGGGCAUGUCAAUGAAGCCAAGGCGGCCAAGAGCUGUAGUUUUAUGCCCAACAAGGGAGCUGACCGAGCAGGUCUUCCGUGUUGCAAAGUCCAUAAGUCAUCAUGCACGUUUUCGGUCAAUAAUGGUUAGUGGAGGCACUCGUCUAAAACCGCAGGAAGAUUCUUUGAACAUGCCUGUUGACAUGGUUGUUGGGACACCUGGAAGGAUCCUUGAUCAUAUUAAGGAGGGCAAUAUCGUUUACGGUGACAUUAAAUAUCUGGUUCUGGAUGAGGCAGAUACAAUGUUUGAUCAAGGUUUUGGAGAAGACAUACGGAAGUUUCUUGCUCCUUUGAAGAAUCGUGCUUCAAAGCCUGGUGAUCAAGGGUUCCAAACCAUAUUGGUUUCUGCCACCAUGACCAAGGGGGUACAAAAGCUGAUCGAUGAGGAAUUUGAAGGUAUUGAGCAUUUACGGACAUCAACCUUUCAAAAGAGAAUUGCAACUGCACGGCAUGACUUCAUCAAACUUUCUGGUUCAGAAAACAAACUUGAGGCUCUCCUCCAGGUUCUUGAGCCAAGCUUAGCAAAAGGAAACAAAGUUAUUGUGUUUUGCAACACUUUGAAUUCAAGUCGUGCAGUGGAUCAUUUUCUUACUGAAAAUCAUAUAUCUACUGUGAACUACCACGGAGAGGUCCCUGCGGAGGAGAGAGUUGAGAACCUAAACAAGUUCCGGAAUGAAGAGGGUGAUUGCCCAACAUUAGUCUGCACUGAUCUGGCAGCUAGAGGACUAGACUUGGAGGUUGACCAUGUCAUCAUGUUUGACUUCCCAAAAAAUUCUAUUGAUUAUCUCCACAGAACUGGGAGAACAGCGCGUAUGGGAGCCAAAGGGAAAGUUACAAGCCUUAUCGCAAAGAAAGAUGUGGGUUUAGCGACAAGGAUAGAGGAUGCCAUGAAGAAAAACGAGAGCUUAGAAUCGCUGACGACUAGCAACGUCAAGAGGGAUUCCGCCAACUCUCAAAACCCAGGCACCAAAGGAAGGACUUCUGCAAGGUCGGCAAGGAGUUCAGAUGCUCCGAGGGCUGCUAGCCAGAAGGGUAACAAAAGGGGAGUCACACUGUCGAGAAGGCCGCCAAAGGUCGCCAUCAAGGACACAACUUCGACCAGGAAGCGCUCGUCGACCAAGAGCCAGCCAUCUUCGUCCAGGAAGCACUCGCCGUCUAAGAACCCGCCUAAGGCCAGGCCGGCAGAGGCCAGAAAGGCCAAGCCGGUGAGAGCUGGUAGCAGCAAGGGUGGCGAGAAGGUCGGGAAGAGCGGCAAGGCCAGGCCGGAGGGCGGGAAGGGGGAUGCUCUGAAUAAGGUGGGAAGUAAGCUGAGCGUGGUUGGAUUCAGAGGGCGCAGCACCGGGAAAUCGGCGCAGGCUUCAUGA
rnacentral:rRNA from 1 species